GGGAGCUCCGGUCUGUGCCGCUGUGGACGCUGGGAAAACCCGGUGGAGAGACUGAGCCAGGACGCACAAUACCACGAAGAAUCCCGAAGAGGUCACAUAACCUGUGGCGUCGGGAGGAGAGAGAGGGAAAGGUAGAGGAGAAAAAGGAGGAAGAAUUGAGCACAGCUGGGGGAUUAAAGAAGAAGAAGGAUAAGGAAACGCAGAAGAAGUGAUAACGAGGAAAAUGGUUGAAAUAGAUGUCACGACGACGCGGGAAAGGAGAGGAGGAUUCACGAGCUACAGAAGACCACACACAAGACCCCUUCUGCCAGGAGAGAGAGACAGACAGAGGAGGAGGAGAAGAAGACGUCUUGGAAGACACUUGGAAACCCCCCCACCCCUACUCCCCCCU